rnacentral:rRNA from 1 species
UACGUAGGGGGCUAGCGUUGUCCGGAAUCAUUGGGCGUAAAGCGCGUGUAGGCGGUCCGGUAAGUCCGCUGUGAAAGUCGGGGGCUCAACCCUCGGAUGCCGGUGGAUACUGUCGGGCUUGAGUACGGAAGAGGCGAGUGGAAUUCCUGGUGUAGCGGUGAAAUGCGCAGAUAUCAGGAGGAACACCAAUUGCGAAGGCAGCUCGCUGGGCCGCACCUGACGCUGAGACGCGAAAGCUAGGGGAGCGAACAGG